GUUGCCUCAUAUCUAUACAAGCUAACAUUCCAGAUCAUUAAUACAGAUAAGUUUUUAAAUCUGAAAGAUAGCAUCAAACUAAAAUCCUGUUUAAAGCUGAUCCACUGCAGAAUGACGUAUGUGCAAAGUCUGACACUACGAGGCUGUUUUCACAGUCACUGCUGAAAGUGAAGGAAACGACAAGAGGGAGGAAGGAGAGAAAACACAGAAUAGACUGGAGAAAUCCCUCAGGAGCUCCCUCACAACUCUGCAACUUUACACGUC